rnacentral:rRNA from 1 species
ACGAUGAAGUUCCUUCGGGAAUGGAUUAGUGGCGAACGGGUGAGGAACACGUGAGAAACCUGCCUUUCAUUCUGGGAUAACACCGGGAAACCGGUGCUAAUACCGGAUACUCCGUCUUGGCGGCAUCGCCGAGCCGGGAAAAAAUUUUGAUGAAAGAUGGUCUCGCGGCCUAUCAGCUAGUUGGUGAGGUAAAGGCUCACCAAGGCGACGACGGGUAGCCGGCCUGAGAGGGCGACCGGCCACACUGGGACUGAGACACGGCCCAGACUCCUACGGGAGGCAGCAGUAGGGAAUAUUGGGCAAUGGGCGCAAGCCUGACCCAGCGACGCCGCGUGAGGGAUGAAGGUCUUCGGAUUGUAAACCUCUUUCAGUAGGGAAGAAGCGAAAGUGACGGUACCUAAAGAAGAAGCACCGGCUAACUAUGUGCCAGCAGCCGCGGUAAUACAUAGGGUGCAAGCGUUGUCCGGAAUUAUUGGGCGUAAAGAGCUCGUAGGUCGUUUGUCGCGUCGAUUGUGAAAAUCUGAGGCUCAACCUCAGACCUGCAGUCGGUACGGGCAAACUAGAGUGUGGUAGGGGAGACUGGAAUUCCUGGUGUAGCGGUGGAAUGCGCAGAUAUCAGGAGGAACACCAAUGGCGAAGGCAGGUCUCUGGGCCAUAACUGACACUGAGGAGCGAAAGUGCGGGGAGCGAACAGGAUUAGAUACCCUGGUAGUCCGCACCGUAAACGGUGGGCACUAGUUGUGGGAACCUUCCACGGUUUCCGCGACGCAGCAAACGCAUUAAGUGCCCCGCCUGGGGAGUACGAUCGCAAGAUUAAAACUCAAAGGAAUUGACGGGGCCCCGCACAAGCAGCGGANCAUGCGGCUUAAUUCGACGCAACGCNNNAACCUUACCANGGCUUGACAUAUAGCGAAAAGUNGNA